rnacentral:rRNA from 1 species
GUCUAUGGCCAGACCGCCCGGAAUGUGCCUGCUCUUGUUUGAUCUCGGAAGCUAAGCAGGGUCAGGCCUGGUUAGUACUAGGAUGGGAGAAACCCCAACACCUAUGAGAGAAAACUGAUGUGAGUGGUGGGUA